GCCAAAGAAUAACAAAGGAAGAAAAGAAAGAACAAGAACCCUAGGUGGAGAAUUUCAAGAGAAAAAGUGUGAAAAAUUAAGGAAAACAAGUGAAAUGGUAGGAUUUCUCAAUUUAAACUUGAAAUCUAUUUUCCUUAAGCAUUUCUCCUUAUUUUCCAUGGUUAAAUUUCAUGUUUUCAUGGUGAAUUCAUGGCUAGCCGAAUGGGUAUGGAGAGAAAGUGAUGUUGGAUUGAUUUGAUUUCAAGUUAUGUUAGUGUUUUUAGUUAGUUUACCAUGUCUAGAAGCAAAACAACAAGAAAAUAAUUCAUUUUCCCCAUCACCCAUCAAUGGCCGAACCUACCUUAUAUUGAGUGAGGAUGAAUUUGAUUUUUUAUUUUAAGAGAAUUGGUUAGAAAAUGAUGAAUUAUGGUGUGGAAAAGUAGUAGGAAAAAUCACGACGUUAAUGCACCAUUAUUGACCGAAAAUUCUAAGAAGAAAAGUGAAGAUGGUUUUGCCAAAUUUUAGGUUAUUUGACUUGUGUUUGGUGAAUUAAGGUAUUGGAAAAGAAAUGGAGCAAUUUGGAGCUAAUUGGAUGCAUUGGCUAAUUAAUCGGGUGAUAAGACGAAUUAGGCCAAUACCGGGUUUAGAUGGUUACCCGUGCAUUUUGCAUUCCAUAUAAUGCAUUAGUAGUCUAAAUUAGUUUAAUUUCGAUUUAGUACCAAUGUAGUAAGUUUCUCGAUUUUGUAUUCUGUCAAGGUGGUCAGUCCUCCGAUAAAGGCAAGGCAAUUGCAUCGGAGGACCAAUAGUCAGAGUACUUCGAAAAUCCGCACUCUAGACAUUGUGAGCAACCUUACUAUCGUCUUAAUUAUCUAAAGUGGUUUUCAUCCGAUUAUGUGAUUUUAUGGAAAAUGAGUUUAAAUGGCAAAUCUUUGUGUUUUGUAAUUAAAAUGUGAUUUAUAUGAAUUGAUUUUAUUUGGUUAAAACAAGUUGAAAGGUGAUGAAUUACAGUAUAUUAAACUAUUUUAUUUGUCUCCAUUUACUCAGUUUUAGACAUUUUAGAUGGUAUUUGUUUACUUACUGGGAUUUUAUAAUCUCACCACCCUCCUUUUAACCUAUUUCAGGCUCAGUAUAGGCUGUAGAUAGCUGAUAUCGUCGAAGACUACAGUCGGCUUUACUUCCUCAAAAACUGUAGGUUUGCAGCCUUCGUUCAUUUUUGUCAUUUAGGGGUCCACAUGUCACUAUAAAUUAAAUUUCAUACUCUAGUUAUCUGUACUAAUGUAUGUAGAAAUUUAUUUUUCUUUUACACUGUAAGUAAAAAUUAUUUAUGCAGUGUUUUAAAAAUAUUAUUUUAUGAGAAAAUUGAGUAUUUUAUUCAAUAUUUUUAUUUUAUUCUAAUAGUCGUAAUUUCAUUUUAAACGAAUGUUUUAG
rnacentral:lncRNA from 1 species